AUAUGCUUUGAAGCCCAAUCUUAGCCCAAGCCAUGAUACUAGAAGCCGAAUCAAAAGCUAAUAUAGGGCUUGAUUGGUUCUCCCUCUGCCACCCGCAAACGCAGCGUUUGCGGGUGGUAGCGGUUAUUAGCGGUUGGCACCAAUCAUAGAAACCGCUAGAUACCGCUUUGGACCGCUUGAAAUCACCAGAUUUCAAAAGCUCCUUCCCGCAAGCGUUUGCGGUUGCGGGCGGUAGCGGUUAGGUUAAAAAAAAAUUA
rnacentral:sRNA from 1 species